rnacentral:lncRNA from 1 species
GCCGAUUCCCUGCCGAAAUCCCCCUUUGGCGGGUUCCCGUUUCGAGGUGGAUGGUUGCGGCUUUGCCGGAGGGGCCGCGUUUGCCCUGAACGGCUCCAAAAGCGGCUGUUUUCACCCCGAAAUCGGGGCCAGUUUUCACCCCCAAAUCGGGGCCGGUUUUCACCCCAAAAACAGGGUUGAUUUUCACCCCGAAAACGGGGUUGAUUUUCGCCCCGCGGCAGCGGCACCUUUGCCCCCCGGCGCCGCUCACCGCUGCCGCCGCCGCUUCGCUCCCGCGCGCCGGCGCCUCCCCGCUCCCUCCCGGUUCUCCCAGUUCUCCCAGUUGCCUUUUCCCCCUUUUUUUUCCCUCCCUCUAUUCCCAGUUCCGCAACUUCAAGAUCAUCUACCGGCGCUACGCCGGCCUUUACUUCUGCAUCUGCGUCGACGUCACCGACAACAACCUGGCCUAUCUCGAGGCCAUCCACAACUUCGUGGAGAUCCCACCAGGGAGCUCCAGUCCCAUCUGGGAGCUCGAAUCCUCUCCAAUCCCACCUGGAAGCCAGGGCCUCACCGGGGAGCUCGGAUCCCGCCGCAUCCCAUUUAGGAGCUCAGAUCCUACGUAGGAGCUGUGAUCCCAUCAGAUCCCAUCAGGGAGCUUGGAGCCUGCCAGGGAGCUCGGAUCCCCCCCAGGAGCUUGGAUCCCCUUGGAUCCCACCUGGGCCCCACCAGGGAGAUCAGAUCGCAUUUAGGAGCUCAGAUCCUGUCAGAUCCCACUGGGGAGCUUGGAUCCGGUAAGAUCCCAACGGAGAGAUCAGAUUCCCCUCAGAUCCCAUCUAAGAGCUCUGAUCCCAUCAGAUCCUGCUGGGGAGCUUGGGUCUUGCUGGGGACCUCAGAUCCUAUAAGAUCCCAGCAGGGAGAUCAGGUCCUUUUACAGAGCUUGGAUCCGGUCAGAUCCCACUGGGGAGCGCUAAUCCUGUCAGAUCCUGAUGGGGAGCUUGGAUCCCCUCUGAUCCCACCUAGAAGCUCGGGCUCUGCCAAGGAGCUUGGAUCCUGUCUAGGAACUUGGAUCCCAUCAGGUCCCAUCUAGGAGCUCGGAUCCCAUUUAGGAGCCUGGAUCCCAUCAGAUUCCACGCAGGUGCUCAGAUCC